CCUACGGGCGGCAGCAGUAGGGAAUAUUCCACAAUGAGCGAAAGCCUGACGCAGUGACGCAGCGUGCACGAUGAAGGUCUUCGGAUCGUAAAGUGCUGUCAGCAGGGAAGAACAUUCGCUGUAGGAAUCAAUUGCAGAUUGACGGUACCUUGUCAGAAAGCGCUGGCUAACUCUGUGCCAGCAGCCGCGGUAAUACGUAGGGUGCAAGCGUUAUUCGGAAUUAUUGGGCGUAAAGCGGUCGUAGGCGGUUUGUUAAGUCAGGGGUGAAAUCCCGGGGCUCAACCUCGGACCUGCUUUGGAUACUAGCAAACUAGAGUGAGUGAGAGGAUAGUGGAAUUCCAGGUGUAGCGGUGAAAUGCGUAGAUAUAUGGAGGAACAGCAGAGGCGAAGGCGGCUAACUGGGACAAUACUGACGCUGAGGGGCGAAAGCGUGGGUAGCAAACAGGAUUAGAUACCCGGGUAGUC
rnacentral:rRNA from 1 species